ANNNGNGCUAAUACAUGCAAGUCGAACGAGCUCUCCCAACAUUGGUUUUAUGCUUGCAUAAAUGAUUUUUGGAUUCGGAGCGAGUGGCGAACUGGUGAGUAACACGUGGGUAACCUGCCCCAAAGCGGGGGAUAACAUUUGGAAACAAGUGCUAAUACCGCAUAAUUAGUUGGAACCGCAUGGUUCCAACUUGAAAGAUGGCUCUGCUAUCACUUUGGGAUGGACCCGCGCCGUAUUAGUUAGUUGGUGAGAUAAAAGCCCACCAAGACGAUGAUACGUAGCCGACCUGAGAGGGUAAUCGGCCACAUUGGGACUGAGACACGGCCCAGACUCCUACGGGAGGCAGCAGUAGGGAAUCUUCCACAAUGGACGAAAGUCUGAUGGAGCAACGCCGCGUGAGUGAUGAAGGUUUUCGGAUCGUAAAACUCUGUUGUUAAAGAAGAACAAGUGUUAGAGUAACUGUUAACACUUUGACGGUAUUUAACCAGAAAGCCACGGCUAACUACGUGCCAGCAGCCGCGGUAAUACGUAGGUGGCAAGCGUUGUCCGGAUUUAUUGGGCGUAAAGCGAGCGCAGGCGGUUUUGUAAGUCUGCUGUGAAAGCCCUCAGCUUAACUGAGGAAGUGCAGUGGAAACUACAAAACUUGAGUACAGAAGAGGAAAGUGGAACUCCAUGUGUAGCGGUGAAAUGCGUAGAUAUAUGGAAGAACACCAGUGGCGAAGGCGGCUUUCUGGUCUGUUACUGACUCUGAGGCUCGAAAGCAUGGGUAGCGAACAGGAUUAAAUACCCUGGUUAGUCCAUGCCGUAAACGAAUGAAUAACUAGGUGUUGGAGGGUUUUCCGCCCUUCCAGUGCCGCAGCUAACGCAUUAAGUAAUUCCGCCUGGGGGAGUACGACCGCCAAGGUUGAAUACUCAAAAGGAAUUGACGGGGGGGCGCCCGCACAAAGUGAGUGGGAGGCAUGUGGUUUAAUUUCAGUUUGCUACGCCGAAAGAAACUAUACCAGACUCUGGACUAUCAUUCUCUGCCUAGCCCCAAGAGAUAUGGAGUUCGUUUCCCCUCUCUCCGGUGGCGACGAGAAAUAGAACAAGAUGGGUGAGCAUGGCNUUNNNCGUUCCAGNCUCNNCAUGNACGUGUGCAGAUGAUUUNGNGAUUUGUGAAACGUUCACUCAGUCAACCGNNANNNNNCNNACNNCCCNUCCAAUUNNUNNNUAGCUUGGNCNNAGNC
rnacentral:rRNA from 1 species